AAUCUCCCAAUCUGCGCGAUUGCACUUGUUUGAAGUAGUGUAAUUGUCGUAUAUGGAGAGAGAAAGAAACUUGAGUUUUGGGUGUGUAUAUCAGGGAGACCCUGCUAUGGUCUCCCUGUUCCUUCCUAAAUUCUACAUUU